UGGGGAAUAUUGGGCAAUGGGCGCAAGCCUGACCCAGCAACGCCGCGUGAGGGAAGAAGGCUUUCGGGUUGUAAACCUCUGUCCUUGGUGACGAAACAAAUGACGGUAGCCAAGGAGGAAGCCCCGGCUAACUACGUGCCAGCAGCCGCGGUAAUACGUAGGGGGCGAGCGUUGUCCGGAAUUACUGGGCGUAAAGGGUGCGUAGGUGGCCCUUUAAGUUGGAUGUGAAAUACCCGGGCUUAACUUGGGGGGUGCAUCUAAUACUGGAGGGCUAGAGUGCAGGAGAGGAAAGCGGAAUUCCUAGUGUAGCGGUGAAAUGCGUAGAUAUUCGGAGGAACACCAGUGGCGAAGGCGGCUCACUGGUCCGGUACUGACGCUGAGGUGCGAAAGCGUGGGGAGCAAACA
rnacentral:rRNA from 1 species